AGAGUUUGAUCAUGGCUCAGGACGAACGCUGGCGGCGUGCUUAAUACAUGCAAGUCGAGCGAGGUUAUGUUGUGGACAUCCUUCGGGAGGGAAGCGAUAUGACCUAGCGGCGGACGGGUGAGUAACGCGUGGGCAAUCUGCCCUAAAGCUCGGGAUAACAGUGGGAAACUGCUGCUAAUACCGGAUGACUUUAUCGGGAGGCAUCUUCGGAUAAAGAAAGUGGUCAAUCAUUGAUUGACCAGCGCUUUAGGAUGAGCCCGCGUCCCAUUAGCUAGUUGGUGAGGUAACGGCUCACCAAGGCGACGAUGGGUAGCCGGCCUGAGAGGGUGAACGGCCACACUGGGACUGAGAUACGGCCCAGACUCCUACGGGAGGCAGCAGUCGAGAAUAGUCUACAAUGGACGAAAGUCUGAUAGUGCGACGCCGCGUGAACGAAGACUCCCUAACAGGGUGUAAAGUUCUUUUAUAUGUGAGCAAUGGUUUGUACAUUAAUAGUGUGCGAGCAGAGAUAUUAGCAUAUGAAUAAGCAACGGCUAACUCCGUGCCAGCAGCCGCGGUAACACGGGGGUUGCAAGCGUUGUCCGGAAUUACUAGGCGUAAAGGGCAGGUAGGCGGAUCAGUAAGUUUGAUGUUAAAUCCAUCGGCUCACCCGAUGACAGGCAUCAGAUACUGCUGAUCUGGAAUACGGUUGAGGAAGACAGAAUUCCUGGUGUAGCGGUGGAAUGCGCAGAGAUCAGGAGGAAUACCGAAUGCGAAGGCAGUCUUCUGGGCCGUUAUUGACGCUAAACUGCGAAGGUGUGGGGAUCAAACAGGAUUAGAUACCCUGGUAGUCCACACAGUAAACGAUAAUCACUAGGUGUUGGGUUCGCAGCGAACUCGGUGCCGUAGCUAACGCGUUAAGUGAUUCGCCUGGGGAGUACGAUCGCAAGGUUGAAACUCAAAGGAAUUGACGG
rnacentral:rRNA from 1 species